ACGCUCGACACCUACAGGCAGCAGUAGGGAAUCUUCCACAAUGGACGCAAGUCUGAUGGAGCAACGCCGCGUGAGUGAAGAAGGUCUUCGGAUCGUAAAACUCUGUUGUUAGAGAAGAACACGAGUGAGAGUAACUGUUCAUUCGAUGACGGUAUCUAACCAGCAAGUCACGGCUAACUACGUGCCAGCAGCGCGGUAAUCUGAGCGGGCUGGCAAGGC
rnacentral:rRNA from 1 species